rnacentral:rRNA from 1 species
GAGACCGGCCUUAUUCGUGAUCAUGAAUAACCAUUCUUCAAGAUUACUUUGCCUGGUUAGUACUUGGAUGGAAGACCACCUAGGAAGACCAGGUGCUGUAAGCA